UACGGAGGAUCCGAGCGUUGUCCGGAAUUAUUGGGCGUAAAGAGCUCGUAGGCGGUUUGUCGCGUCGAAUGUGAAAAUCCGGGGCUCAACCCCGGACCUGCAUUCGAUACGGGCAGACUAGAGUUCGGUAGGGGAGUCUGGAAUUCCUGGUGUAGCGGUGAAAUGCGCAGAUAUCAGGAGGAACACCGGUGGCGAAGGCGGGACUCUGGGCCGAUACUGACGCUGAGGCGCGAAAGCGUGGGGAGCAAACAG
rnacentral:rRNA from 1 species